UGUCACACUCAUGUACUACACAUAUGGUCUCUAAUCUUUCCUCCAAUUGGUUGUCUAUUACAAAUAGUGAAUGAAUUGACUUCAGCUCCCAAGGACCAGGGAAGGAGAGUUGGAGACCACUUAUUUUAUAAAUCGUCCCAUAUUUCCUGGUGUCCAUUCCAUUCACUCCAUCGCUGCGAGACAAUGAAGGAUACACACACCCUGCUCAAUCUGCUUCUGCUGCUAGUGUACCUAGCAGGAUCAGCUUUGACCACUGAUGGAGGGAGUGGCAGUAUCAAUGGUCCCUUGGAACUAACCAUAGUGGGACCUGACUUUGUUAAAGUGGGCGUGCCACGCAGCUUUGACUGUGCCGCCCAGUGCUCUCCCUCCUGCAGCUAUAGAAUGAGUAUCUACGGACAGAUUUGGCAGGGCAACAAGCUGUUGUUCACAGCUCGCCAAUGGGAAGAGUCCCUAAACCUUACAUGCACUGCAAGGAAUGAUGACUCUGGGAGGUCCUCUACAGUAUCUAAGAUACUCCAGGUUUUAGCUGGACCAACCAACGUAUCGAUCACAGGCCCUGCCCUGAUGACCCCAGGGGCCCCUCAAAGCUUCCAGUGUAACGCCGACUGCCGUCCCUCCUGCAACUACACCUGGAAGAUAAAGGGCCGAUGGCUCGGGGGGCAGGGGAGCGAGAUUACCGUAACUCCUGAAGAGUUGGCCACCUCUGUUACCCUGAACUGCAAGGCCAUCAACAGUGUGUCUGGGCUCUAUGCCAUGGCAACCAGGAAAAUACCUGUGACAUCUGGUCCAUCAGAGGUCCACAUCAUAGGCCCAGAAUCUGUUGCAGUCGGCUUCAAGUCCAUGUUUCAGUGCAUUGCCAAAUGCACUCCCGCUUGUGACUACCACUGGACCAUUGAUGGUCACACUGUCCAUGGCAGUGAGAUGGAGAUGACGGUCGAGCAACAUGUGAAGCCAGAGAAGAUUAUGUGCCACGCUCAGAAUACGAUCUCAACUCAUUUUGAGGUGGUCACCAAGACCGUACGAGUGGAAGGUACAACAGAAAUCUCAUGAUUAUACAUUUUAGCCACUACCUUAAUUUUAGGAGACUAAAUCUUUAACUGAUGUAUAUGGUCUUUAUGAUGCUGUCAUAAACAUUAUUUGACCUAAUAUCAUGGUUUUUUGUGUUCCUUUUGGAAUGUUUUUGUGCGUGUGACAGACAAUGACAAAAAAAUGAUCCUCUCAAAACAAUAUGCUUGUCAAGCUGUGUCCAGGUUGUGAUUGUACAAGCAGACCAUCUCUGGGAGGAAGCGUCAGCAUUGGACAGCAGCUGAAACUGGGUCACGAUUGAGUACGAACACUCCUUGCUGACAACAAGGCUCCAAAGCAUUAAAGCUGUAAAACAGGAAAACAGACUGAAAAUAGACAAGACAUUAUAACCUUGCAUACCCGCUACAGUGGCUUCAGAAAGUAUUCACACCCCUUGACCUUUUCCACAUUUUGUUGUGUUUGUCAGAAUUUUAAAUUUGAUACAUUUACAUUGUUUUGUCACUGGCCUAGACACUACCCAAUAAUGUCAAUGUGGAAUUAUGGUUAUUUGUAUUUUUCUUUUAACUAAUUAUUUAAAAAUGAAAAUAUUAGAAGUCUUGAGUCAAUAAGUAUUCAAACCCUUUGUUAUGGCAAGCCUAAAUAAGUUCAGGAGUAAACAUGUGCGUAACAAGUCACAAUAGUGUUUAACAUUACUUUUAGAAUGACUACCUCACAAAUAUAAUUAUCUGUAAGGUCCCUCAGGAGAGCAUUUCAAACAAAGAUUCAACCACAAAGACCACAAAGGUUUUCCAACGCCUUGCAAAGAACAGCACCUAUUGGUAGAUGGGUAUAAAUGAAUAAAAAAGCAGGCAUUGAAUAUCCCUUUUGAGCAUGGUGAAGUUAUUAAUUACACUUUGGAUGGUGUAUCAAUGCACCCAGUCACUACAAAGAUACAUGUGACCUUUCUAACUCAGGGAUUUCACCAUGAGGCCAAUGGUGACGUUAAAACAGUUACAGAGUUGAAUGUCUGUGAUAGGAAAAAACUGAGGAUGGAUCAACAACAUUGUAAUUAACAAAACUAACCUAAUUGAAAGAGUGAAAAGAAGGAUGCCGGUACAAAAUAAAAAAUAUUCCAAAACAUGCAUCCUGUUUGAAACAGGAAUGCUGGAAUACUACAGUAAUACUGCAAUUCACUUUUUGUCCUGAAUACAACGUCUUAUGUUGGGGAAAAUCCAAUACAAGUAAUGAAUAAGACGGCCCACACACUGUUGAAGCUCCCAAUUCACAGCUUUAUUGACAAUGUUUCGAUCCGAAACGGAUCUGCGUCAGGUCAAAUCCAAUACAGCACAUUACUGAGUACCACUCUCCAUAUUUUCAAACAUAGCGGUGGCUGCAUCAUGUUAUGCAUGUAAUCGUCAAGGACUGUGGAGUUUUUGCAGCUAAAUAAAGUCAUGGAAUGGAGCUAAGCACAGGCAAAAUCCUAGAGGAAAACCUGGUUCAGUCUGCUUUCCACCAGACACUGGGAGAUGAAUUCACCUUUCAGCACGACAAUAACCUAAAACAAAUCUAAACAAGCGUUGCUUACCAAGAAGACAUGGAAUAUUCCUGAGUUAAAUCUGCUUGAAAAUCUAUGGCAAGACCUACAAAGGGUUGUCUAGCAAUGAUCAACAACAAAUUUGACAGAGCUUGAAGAAUUUUGUUGCACAGUCAAGGUGUGGAAAGCUCUUAGAGAUUUACCCAGAAAGACUCACAGCUGUAAUCGCUGCCAAAGGUGAUUCUAUUGUAUUGAAUACUUAUCUAAUCAAAAUAUAAGUGUUUUAUUUUCAUAUUUUUGCAUAUUUUUUUUUUCCAACUUUGACAUUAUAGAGUAUUUUGUGUAGAUCAUUGACAAAGAAGUACAGUUAAAUCAAUUUUAAUCCCACUUUGUAACACAACAAAACGUUGAAAAAGUGAAGUUAAUUUGAUACGGAUAAGCUCAUACAAUGCAAUGACAAUGAAAAUGACUGGUCCUGCUUGGUCUGUGGCAUCGGCCUGAAGUAUGGAGUCAGUUGUUGCCAAUCAUGUGGUGGAAAAAGUGUGGGAAAAGUGGUGGAAAAAGUAUUCAAUUCUCAUACUUGAGUAAAAGUAAAGAUACCUUUGUCACGUUCUGACCUUUAUUUCCUUUGUUUUGUCAUUUUUUUGUAUGGUCAGGGCGUGAGUUGGGGUGGGCAGUCUAUGUUUGAUUUUCUAUGAUUUUGGGAUUUCUAUGUUUCGGCCUAGUAUGGUUCUCAAUCAGAGGCAGGUGUCAUUAGUUGUCUCUGAUUGAGAAUCAUACUUAGGUAGCCUGGGUUUCACUGUUUGUUUGUAGGUGUUUGUUUCCGUGUCUGUGUUUUUCACCACACGGUACUGUUUUGGUUUUUGUUCAUUUCACGUUUAUUGUUUUUGUAUCAGUUGUGUUCAUGUUGAGGAUUUCUUAUUAAAAGAACCAUGGACACUUACCACGCCGCAUAUUGGUCCUCCGAUCCUUCUCGCCUCUCCUCUUCAGAGGAAGAGGAGAAAAACCUUUACAACCUUAAUAGAAAAUGACUCAAGUAAAAGUGAAAGUCACCCAGUAAAAUACUACUUGACUAAAGGUUUAAAUAUACUUCAGUAUCAAAAGUAAAUGUAGUUGAUAAAAUCUACUUAACCAUCAAAAGUAAAAGUACGAAUAAUAAAAAAUUCCUUAUAUUAAGCAAACCAAACGGCACAAUUUUCAUUUUUUUUAUUGGAUAGCCAGGGUCACACUCCAACACUCAGACAUAAUUUAAAAACAAAGCAUUUGUGUUUAGUGAGUCCACUAGAUCAGAGGCAGUAGGGAUGACCAGGGAUGUUCUCUUGAUAAGGGUGCGAAUUUGACCAUUUUCUGUCUUGCUAAGCAUUGAAAAUGUAACGAGGGCUUUUGGGUGUCAGGGAAAAUGUAUGGAGUUAAAAGAGCAUAAUUUUCAUUAGGAAUGUAGUAAAGUAAAAGUAAAAGUUGUCAAAAUAUGAAUAGUAAAGUAAAGUACAGAUACCCCCCAAAACUACUUAAAUAGUACUUUGAAGUAUUUUUACUUAAGUACUUUACACCACUGCUUUCCACCAGCACUGUACCUCACUGUACCAUCCUCCGGUCCAACCAGCUGUGGGAUGUUGACCCAAAUGAUUUCUAUAAACCCUGGAUUGCUGAUGCUAUGUAUUGACCAUUGAGAGGCUAUGAAGACAUCGGUCGGCCAUAUUGGCACUCCCCAGUAGGAGCAGUCCUCCACGGGAAUUAAUGGAAUUUACUGUAUAUAUAAUUCAUUGGUCUACCCCUGUCACAGUGCUGUCCUUCAUCACGCCAGAAAUCUCUCACAAAGUGUUCACUCUGGUCUUUCUGCUGAAAGAAAAAAUACAGAACAAAAAAUUGUUUAGUAAAAUAUGAAAACUUCCAUCAAUGUAAUUGUCUGCAUCCUUUCCAAUCCCCCAUAAAUAUAUAUUUUUGUAAAUAUACACUAUACUCCAG
ensembl:lncRNA